ACUUUAUACAAGCCAUUCACUGCCUCAAAGCAAUGGUUUUGGGUUCUUAUCCCAUUUGGGACCAAAUAUGAACAAGUCUUUGUUCUCACUUCUUAACAUUCUUCAUGUAUCUCUAGCACUUGUAAACAAUCAAAUUCAUUUUAUUAUAACAUAUUCUAACCCAAAAUAACUUUAUACAAGCCAAUCACUGCCUCAAAGCAAUGGUUUUGGGUUCUUGUCCCAUUUGUGACCAAAUAUCAACAAGUCUUUCUUCUCCCUUUUAAACAUUCUUCAUGCAUCUCUAGCACUUGUAAUCAAUCAAAUUCAUUGUAUUAUAACAUAUUCUAACCCAAAAUAACUUUAUACAAGCCAUUCACUGCCUCAAAGCAAUGGUUUUGGGUUCUUAUCCCAUUUGUGACCAAAUAUCAACAAGUAUUUCUUCUCACUUUUAAACAUUCUUCAUGCAUCUCUAGCACUUGUAAUCUAUCAAAUUCAUUUUAUUAUAACAUAUUCUAACCUCAAAUAACUUUAUACAAGCAAUUCAAUGCCUCAAAGCAAUGGUUUUGGGUUCUCAUCCCAUUUGUGACCAAAUAUCAACAAGUCUUUCUUCUCACUUUUAAACAUUCUUCAUGCAUCUCUAGCACUUGUAAUCAAUCAAAUUCAUUGUAUUAUAACAUAUUCUAACCCAAAAAAACUUUAUACAAGCAAUUCACUGCCUCAAAGCAAUGGUUUUGGGAUCUUAUCCCAUUUGGGACCAAAUAUCAACAAGCCUUUCUUCUCACUUUUAAACAUUCUUCAUGCAUCUCUAGCACUUGUAAUCAAUCAAAUUCAUUGUAUUAUAACAUUUUCUAACCCAAAAUAACUUUAUACAAGCCAUUCACUGCCUCCAAGCAAUGGUUUUGGGUUCUUAUCCCAUUUGG
rnacentral:lncRNA from 1 species